rnacentral:rRNA from 1 species
GACGAACGCUGGCGGCGUGCCUAAUACAUGCAAGUUGAGCGCUGAAGGUUGGUACUUGUACCGACUGGAUGAGCAGCGAACGGGUGAGUAACGCGUGGGGAAUCUGCCUUUGAGCGGGGGACAACAUUUGGAAACGAAUGCUAAUACCGCAUAAAAACUUUAAACACAAGUUUUAAGUUUGAAAGAUGCAAUUGCAUCACACAAAGAUGAUCCCGCGUUGUAUUAGCUAGUUGGUGAGGUAAAGGCUCACCAAGGCGAUGAUACAUAGCCGACCUGAGAGGGUGAUCGGCCACAUUGGGACUGAGACACGGCCCAAACUCCUACGGGAGGCAGCAGUAGGGAAUCUUCGGCAAUGGACGAAAGUCUGACCGAGCAACGCCGCGUGAGUGAAGAAGGUUUUCGGAUCGUAAAACUCUGUUGGUAGAGAAGAACGUUGGUGAGGGUGGAAAGCUCAUCAAGUGACGGUAACUACCCAGAAAGGGACGGCUAACUACGUGCCAGCAGCCGCAGUAA